CAACACUUAUAUGUGUUGCAAGGAAUAAACACUUUGAUCUUUAAUAUCAUAAUUACUUUUUUGAUACAAAUAGAGACAAUGCAUGUACAAUUAAUAAUGUGAAAUGCAAGACCAUUCAACACAUAGAAAAUAAGCACUCAGCCAUAUAGUAUAAAGAAUUUACUGCAUUACAUUGAGUACCAUACAAUUUUUGUUUUUUUUCGAACAACGCAGGAGAGCUGCAUACAAUUUUUGUUCAAAGUAGGGUCCUAUG
rnacentral:lncRNA from 1 species